ensembl:lncRNA
UUAUAAUAAUAGGUUUUCCUAUUUCUAGAUUUAUGUCACUCAUUUAGUUUGGAAAGUGUAAACUUGAUGGCCUACAGCAAGUCUGAAGGUUAGCGAUGAAUAUUUACAUUUUGAACCAAUCAGUAAACAACGCUUGACAGUGACGUAAACCAGAAGGAAGCGAGUUCAUGGCAAAACAUCUAGAAUGGAUAACAGUAGGUGAUAAUACGCAUAGCCAGACCUAAAAAUGCAUCUUGGAAGGGCGUCUUGCACAAGAACGGCACCUGAAAAUCAUACUGAGACUGUGAAUACAUACUCAUCUCACACAGGAAGAGGACGCAGGUCUCGUUCAGUUUUCAACCCCUUAUUCAGAAUCUUAUAGUGUAAGUGUGCAUUCACUAUUUUACAGAUGUUACUU